rnacentral:rRNA from 1 species
GAUGAACGCUAGCUACAGGCUUAACACAUGCAAGUCGAAGGGAAACGAUAUUGGAAGCUUGCUUCCGAUAGGCGUCGACCGGCGCACGGGUGGGUAACGCGUAUCCGACCUGCCCACCACUUGGGGAUAACCUUGCGCAAGUAAGACUAAUACCCAAUGAUAUCUCAAGAAGACAUCUGAAUGAGAUUACAGAUUUAUCGGUGAUGGAUGGGGAUGCGUCUGAUUAGCUUGUUGGCGGGGUAACGGCCCACCAAGGCGACGAUCGGUAGAGGGUGUGAGAGGCAGGUCCCCCACGUUGGAACUGAGACACGGUCCAAACUCCUACGGGAGGCAGCAGUGAGGAAUAUUGGGCAAUAGGCGAGAGCCUGAACCAGCCAAAUAGCGAGCAGGAUGACGGCCCUAUGGGUUGUAAACUGCUUUUAUAAGGGAAUAAAGUGAGCCUCGUGAGGCUUUUUGCAUGUACCUUAUGAAUAAGGACCGGCUAAUUCCGUGCCAGCAGCCGCCGUAA